AAAAAAAUUAAAUUUAAUUUAGUCCCCUGAAAACUUGUGAUUUUCCACAUAGCGGAGUUUUCAUGCGCAGCGACGCAAUAUCAAAUGAGCUCGGCGGCAUCUUGAACG